UACGAGGGGGGCUAGCGUUGUUCGGAAUUACUGGGCGUAAAGCGAACGUAGGCGGUGUUCCAUGUCAGAGGUGAAAGCCUGGGGCUCAACUCCAGAAUUGCCUUUGAAACGGGAACGCUUGAGUCCGAGAGAGGGUGGCGGAAUUCCUAGUGUAGAGGUGAAAUUCGUAGAUAUUAGGAAGAACACCAGUGGCGAAGGCGGCCACCUGGCUCGGUACUGACGCUCAGGUUCGAAAGCGUGGGGAGCAAACAGG
rnacentral:rRNA from 1 species